rnacentral:rRNA from 1 species
AUGAACCCUGUCCGAGCUGAAGUGGCUGCUCUUCAAUCCAUCCUUGCAGCCUUUGGCAAGAUCUCCGGCCUCUGUACAAAUUUCAACAAAUCAGCAGCAUACCCAAUUGCAUGUGAGGACCAUGUGAUUGAGGAGGUUCUAGCUGAGUUUGAGGGCGAAAUCAGCUCCCUCCCGUGCAAGUACCUUGGGAUGCCUCUGAGUAUUCGCAAGCUUCGGAGGGUGGAUUUUCAAGUGCUCAUUGAUAAAAUCGCAGCAAAGCUUGCGGGCUGGAAGGGAAAAUUACUUAACAGGAUGGGACGGCUGGCUCUCAUCAACUCGGUGUUAACCUCCUUGACCACGUACUAUCUGGCAAUUUUUGCUCCAACCAAGUGGGUUGUAAAGAGGAUUGACAAGCUUCGAAGAAGUUUUCUUUGGAAAGGAGAAGAAGAGGCCAAAGGAGGCCACUGUGCAGUCAAUUGGCAACAAGUAUGCUCCCCCAAAAAGCUUGGGGGCCUUGGAAUAAAAAACCUAGCUUUCUACAGCAGAUCUUUGAGAUUAAGGUGGGCUUGGUACUCCUGGAAAUACCCCAAUAGGUCUUGGGUUGGAUUGCAAAUUCCAUGCACUAGCACUGACAUGCAGCUGUUCAACGCCUCCACAAUUGUCAAGCUUGGUGAUGGUCAAAGUGCUAAAUUCUAG